rnacentral:rRNA from 1 species
GACGAACGCUGGCGGCGUGCUUAACACAUGCAAGUCGAACGUAAAGGCCCUGCUUUUGUGGGGUGCUCGAGUGGCGAACGGGUGAGUAACACGUGAGUAACCUGCCCUUGACUUUGGGAUAACUUCAGGAAACUGGGGCUAAUACCGGAUAGGAGCUCCUGCUGCAUGGUGGGGGUUGGAAAGUUUCGGCGGUUGGGGAUGGACUCGCGGCUUAUCAGCUUGUUGGUGGGGUAAUGGCUUACCAAGGCUUUGACGGGUAGCCGGCCUGAGAGGGUGACCGGCCACAUUGGGACUGAGAUACGGCCCAGACUCCUACGGGAGGCAGCAGUGGGGAAUAUUGCACAAUGGGCGGAAGCCUGAUGCAGCAACGCCGCGUGCGGGAUGACGGCCUUCGGGUUGUAAACCGCUUUCGCCUGUGACGAAGCGUGAGUGACGGUAAUGGGUAAAGAAGCACCGGCUAACUACGUG